CACGUAGGGUGCGAGCGUUGUCCGGAAUCAUUGGGCGUAAAGAGCGUGUAGGCGGCUCGAUAAGUCUGCUGUGAAAGUCCAGGGCUCAACCCUGGAAGGCCGGUGGAAACUGUCGGGCUAGAGUCCGGAAGAGGCGAGUGGAAUUCCCGGUGUAGCGGUGAAAUGCGCAGAUAUCGGGAGGAACACCAAUGGCGAAGGCAGCUCGCUGGGACGGUACUGACGCUGAGACGCGAAAGCGUGGGGAGCAAACAGG
rnacentral:rRNA from 1 species